ensembl:lncRNA
GUAUAAUGCGCCUGUCCUCAGCUGGGAUAUAGCUCUUCCAUGCUGCUCUCCUACUCUCAUCCUAGUGUUUAACUAGGAACAUAAAUGUCUAUUUGCUGCUCCAGCCUAAUUUCUGAAACAUCUGCAAGGCAGUUUUUCUUACUGAGAAUUUAGAACAUCAUAUUAUUUCUUAGAGUAAAGCAACAAUGUAAGUUGAAGCUCCCAUAGCAUUUUGAUUUCUUCUCCUGGAAGAUAUGGUCCAAUUUUGGGAAUCAGUUGGCUGCACAUCCCUGUUGAUACUGGGGCAUAAUAUUCAUUUAUCAUGUCUAUAAGGUCUGUGUGUUUUGUCAGUAAAAUACUCACGCAGCUGUUCCUUGAGCCUCAUCUAAUCCCUGAGUCCAUCCAUCCUGGAAAUGUGUGUCAGUGUGUCACUGCUGUUGAUGAAAUUUUCCUUUUUCACAGUCUGUGCCUCCCCCCUAUUUAUCGUUUGAAUUGUCUCAGAUUAACUCUGUAGUCCUUACUGUCACCUCUUCUGCCUUUUUCUAUCUAUUUACCUGCUAGUUACGCCCUGCUCUGACUGCCUUUUCUCCCUUUGCCCGCUGCUGUAUUUAUUGAUGUAUGGCUCAUUUCACCCCAGGCCACGCAAUGAGUACUCUUCUCUUGCUGAGGACUUAAAAAAAACAUACUUGAUAUGUAAGGAUAGGUUGUUUUGUGCACUUCAGGCCAAGUUAGAGAUGCAAAUGCCAUUAUCUUUAACAAGGUGCACAUUUAAUGUAUCAUACAGCACUCUGGAAAUGCUCCUAUGUCUGAUUCUCAUUUAGACCACUUGAUUGUAUUAUGGCUGCCAGUGCAUCGGUGCUAGUUGUUUGUUGUUGUUUAUUUUCAUCCCUCCUUUCUUUUUUAACAGCUCUUACCCUUUUUCCUGUAGGUAACCCAUUUAACGGUUCUGUUAUUCAGUGGUGUAAUCCUCCCUGCCUCCACUGAGCAUAGGAUCAAUCCUCAUGGUUCUCUGUCUGAAGUCUUAUUUCCUGACUUAGGCUGGAGGGAUGUUUGCAUUGUACAGCACAAGUAGGGUAUGGGCAUGCUUGCAGUUUCUGGAACUGCUGCCAAGACAAUCAUCACAAGCUGUGACUAAAUAUUGUGUUUCUUUGGGUUCAGAAAAGCAAAAUAACUUUUCCCAGCCUCACAACAUGAGUUAAUAUAGAAAUCAUAUCAGUGCCUCCUUUUUAAGGCAUGUGAAAAUACAAUAGGAGCAAAAGUCCAAAUCUGCAGAAUUCCACAAUGUAUUUAUCAUGUUCUCCGAAUUUUUCUUGUAGGUUUUAAUUAUCCUUUUGUCAAAUCUGCUUGGCUGCCUUCUUUAACUUUGGGCUAGAUCACCUUUAAAGUCUCUUUCAACUCAUAUAAUUCUGUCAUCUCGACUCUAGCUUUAAACAUCCCAAAUGGCUUCCCAAUUUCUACUUAUGUCUCAGCCUAGUUUUGAUACGAGGCAAAAAAAGCUCUGCUACAGGUUAUUAGGGUAUGUUUUAAGUUUGUAUAUGGUGAGAAUCACCAUAUAUGCCUAACAAAAUACUUGGUUUUAUGUCUUGGAUAUAGCAAUUGAUUCUGAAGGGUAAUAUUUAAUGUUGACUUGCUUUCAGCUCUUGAUUUGGAGCUGCCAUUAACUGAGAAUUGACUGCAAUGGGAAGGAGGAAUGGUCUACUGAAUUCACACAACUUCCUUUCCACCUGUUCCUUUGCUUUAUAGGUAUAUGCCUUAAGUUCUAGAGAUGUCAUGAGCAAAAUAACUCCAUUUAUGAAAGGGAGAUAUUUGUUCUAAAGAUGAACGCUGUUCAUCUCCUGCUUCCUUCCCAUGUUUCUCCCUUCCCUACCACAUUUGCUUCCCCAUCUGACCAGCCGCACAAAACCAUGCUGUUUUUCCUAUUGUGCAUAACCCUUGGGGUAUAGACAGCUGUUAUUUUGGUAUCAUUACAGCUGCCGAUGGAUGAGUACACAGGGGAGAGAGCUUAGGAACCUCGGGAAAGUUCAAGGCCAAAGAUGACAUAAGAUACGGAAGACCAAGAAGAUGGAGGAUAGGAUAGCUUGAGUAGCCCUAUAAUCCCAACCUUGAGGUGGUUGCCAGCAGCUUGCAGGUUCUGAAUGUUUAUGAAAAGCUUAAAAGUAGUAGCUGGCCAAAGAGUCACAGAAUCACAGAGCUUGGAAGAGAGACCUCAAGAAGUCAUCAAGUCUAACCCCUCUGCUAAAGCAGGUACCCUACUGUAGGUCUCAAAGGUAGGCAUCCUACUCCUGUGUGAUCACUUAGGUGUGUGUGGCCCUCCAUCCCCCUAGAUGCUUGAGAGAAGAGGUUUCAAGUACCUCCUCCAUUUUCUCAGCUUUGACCUGAAGCAGAGGAUAAAGGAUUAUUGUUGUCGUUCAAAGCCAUCUGGAAAAGCUUUUUGUGGCAGUGCCGUACCAUUUCAAUGACCGUGAAACAGUGGGAGUAUGAGAACUUUACUGUGUCACUACAUUUAUAUGCCCUGCCUUAGCUGCUCUCUGUUACUUAACACUGUUCUUUCAAUGUUAGUUCAAAAUGGAUUUGCUGGUUUGCUGAGGUCACUGUUUUCCCUUACUGCUCUGAAGGCCACAAAGGUAAAAUGCUUCCCAUUCAUUGUUUUGCCGUUUUCGAUCUUUUAUUUCAAUUGUGUUCGUGCUUCAAUAAGGUUCUUGUCUUUACUCGUGAAAGCAAACGAAGUAAUAAAAAUGUUUUGUAACAGCUGUAAUAAGGUACAACAUAAUACAUAUAUAUAUAUCCUACAACAAGUAUUUCAGAAGCAUGUUCUCUUCUUAAUUUUACCGUGGAAUCAGGAAAAAACUGUCCUGCCAGUAACACAUUAAAGCUUGUGAUCAGAUUGCCACAAUUUUACUCCCAGAUUUUUUUUCAUCUUGCAACAGCAAAUGAGAACUUGUGGUAUGUUUAUAGAUGUAACACGCUCAGGUUGUAAGCUCUCUUCAUUUUGAGAUCUGUAUCUGAGCUGUAACAGAAAUUUUUGUCACACUAGUGUCUCAAAGACUAAAUCAUGGAGUUGCUUGCAAUUCUGUAAUGUAUUAGACAAUCUGAUCCCAAUUAGAUUACUAACUGCAGUACAAACCACAGACAUCAGUUCCUAGCUAGCACGCCCACAUUAUUUCUAGAUGGUGUAUUCUAUUUAUCUUCAUUUUCAGCGAUUUCACUGCAGCUUUAUAAUUAAACCUGUCUCCGACAUCGCAGGGAAAGGAAAAGUGCUCUGUAGUCAUGGCCAGUUGGACAUCCUUAUGUGUUAGGAAGAUGUUGCAGUGAUAGCUGUUCCACAUCGUUUCUGCAUUUUGUUAUAACAUACAGUGUUCUAGAGUUCAAGCUACAGAGUACUUGGCACAACUGAGUGAAUUGCCUUGAUUGAUACCAUUUCAUAUGUCAUGGCUUAUUAGUGAUUUUUAAUUUAAGGAUUAUUGGGCUGAUUACACUCAACAGUUAUUUCUGUGAAUUCAACAAAGCUUUUGAAAUUUAACUCCUUUAGGUUCUUUAUUUGUAUGUCAUGGCCUUAUUCUUCAAAUACAGUUUGAAAAAUAAAUAAAAGACCAUAUGUAGAUAACACAGCAGUUGUGCAGUGCAUGUAGAUCCCUGUAUGGGAGCCUUACAAAUUUGAAUGCUCAGGAAUGAAGGUGCUCAAAAGGCCUAUUGCAUGUAAAGUUUAGUGGGCAUGGUGGUGGUGAAUUAAUGGUUGUAGUAGAUGAUCUUAGAGGUCUUUUCCAGUCUUUAUGGUUCUCUGAUUCUAAAUUCACUCAACAAUUAGGAAGCAUCAGGAUUAAAAUUCCUGCAUAAAAAUAUGCAUUUACGGGGAUUUUUUGAAAGGUAUCAGAACUCACUGUGAACUCUUGGAAAAAACAGCCAAGCACUGCUCUGCAUUUUGCAUAUCUUUAUAAUUUUGAAAGUAAUAGUCCAAGGUAUUUUAGUGGGAGUUAGCCUUCGGUGAUUUUCUACCAGUAUUGAGCACAAUAGAUACACCAAAAUCAUUCUGCAGUACUAUACAACUUGUCAGAAUUGUGGAUUUUGUUUAGAAGUUUAGGGGAUUUUCUGCAGAACCUAAACCUGAAAAAAAAAGGUAUAGGAGUGUCUCAAAGCACAUAAAUUUUAAGUUCUUCACAGAAGUGAGGCACGAGUGAAAAAUUACCAGACGUAUAAAGUUCUUUAGAAGAGAAGAAACAGGUGCUCUUUGCUUUUGAAUGACUAAUCUAAAUCCAAAAGUAUUAUUUUUUUUUCAGGCUAAGCAUGAGUUUCUUUCAUUUUUCAGUCCUGAGCCAAGUCUUUACUCUUUGAAGAUGUCAUUAAAACCACCUCAAGGUCUCUCUGCCUCAAACUGUGUGAUUUUCAGCAAUUGCUUAAAGGUACAGCUAAACAAUGACAUAAGUUGGUGCUACAAGGUGGUUAAUUAAGCAAUGUGAAGAGCAAUGAAUUAAUGUGCUAUCCAUGUAAGUGUCUUUCUGAUAACUACUUGGUUUGCAAUUAUGCCUGGUUUAAUCUGAUGAUAAUACCUAAGAAGUUGUGGCUUCUUAAAAUGACCUUUGUUUUGGGAAAAACACGGGUGUCUGUGCUUUACUAAGGGUUUUGUUGAUUUAUUUUUGGGUUUGUUUUUUUGGCUUAGGUUUGAAUGAACCACUGACUUAUGCAAAUAGAUACGUUAACAUGGAAGAUAACAUGCUGUCUUUUAUUUAAAAGGAAGAAUGGAGGACCACGCUGAACAUUGGCUGUUCCAAAGUUAAUAGUUGAACAAUGCAUUUAACUGCAUUGUCUUGUAUUUUUAGCAACAUUUGGGCUAUUCAGAGUUCUUUGGAUUAUAGAUCACUUUUACAUUACAGAAGGGGAUAAUGCAUCUCUCUAUUACUACUGAUGGAUGUCUCAAAUUAAAUGUAUGUGCUUAACGUCCAUGCUUUGAAGGUUAACGACCUUGUGAUAGAGAAAUGGAGACUGACUUUCGCUGUCCUGUGCUAAAAUUCCCUUUAUCUUUCACCGGUGUGCUUUGCUACAUAUAUUGACUUGUGGAAAGUCCUUUGAUGAAAGGUAGUAACAGGAGGGGUAUUGCGACUUUAUUUCUUGCCGGGUAAAUCCUAGCUGACCCUAUUACCAUCAACUCCUUUCUUUCAAGGAACAAACUUCUAGGGGGUGGGAGGGUGAAUAGUUUCACUCAUAAUGCCAUGUUUUCCACCGAUCAGAAGCAUCUUUGAUUCCCAAAUGUUGUUGGAAAUAAAAUUCUGACUAAAUUUAAUUUCAGUUCACGGUAUUUAGGAGAGACUACUUCAAGCAAUUAAGCAAGCGUUCAUUUUUCCUAGUCUGGUAUGCAGUCAUAGGAACGCAAGGAAUUUGUUGAACCUAAAAUAACGUAUUGAAUGUUCUUCUAGUUAUUUCAGAAGAUAACUUCAUUAAGUCUUGCUUUUCCUCAUUCUUUAAUUUUUGUAUAAGGAUUGACAACAGUGGAGAUAACUCCAGCUGAAGUGCUCCAACAGCAGGAGUCUAGAGGAACAUACAGGAAUAGUCUCAUUUGGAUUUCAGAUGACUGCUCGUGUCUUUAACCAGUGUCAUGCUUUUCCUUCAAACACUGUCUCCAUACUGUCAUCUGUGCCUUUGUAAUUGUACUGUGGAGGUGAUUCUAAAAUGCUAAAUUUUAUGGCAAACCAGUAUGAUGAGCUACAAAUGAUUGAGCUCAAAUUGUGCCAAAAUAGUUACAUCUCUAGCAUUAAGGAAAGCCCUUACAGGCAAACUGUCUGUGUGUUCUGGGUUUCUAAAUACUGGAAAUGAAUUUGUUCCAAAUUUGGGUAGAAUUAGGUCUCGGAAAAGUGGUUUGCUUGAAAAAUGGAAGGAUGGUUUUUGGCUAGGUAGUGGCCUGCUGUUCAGAGCUCCCAUGUGACUCUGAGUUCUCUCCCCUCACUGGAUAUUGAGCAUUGACUGUGCAUGAAGGGGGACCUUCUGUUAGAAACUGUUGCAACAGACUCAUCCAAAAGAACCUGAAUCUGCCAAAGAAGGAACUUCAACCUUUUGACCUCAUUGAGACCAAAUGAUCCCUGCUGAAAUGAGCCGUUUCUUCGAGAAAGUCUGGGCUGGAUCUGAGAAUUUCCUUUCAGAAUUGAUAAAUACCACAAAUUCUUGAUCAAAUUUACUUGCUAGUCAAAACAUAAUAUUGAUUGAGAAACAAAAAAAAAAAAGUGUUGUAUAUUGCUUGCAGUUAGUACUUUUUUAUGAGAUACUGUGAACAAAACAGAUCAAGAUAGUAAUGCAGGUUAUUGCUUUGCCUUGUUUUGCCAGUCAUGCAUUCAGAUAUUACCACAGGCAAAAACAAUUUCAUGGCCCCUGAUAUAUCUGCAUCACAUCCUGUUUGAAAACCAAUAAAAAGAUUGAGUGAUGUUCCUGGGAAGGAACUGUAACGUUGAGAAGUCCUUAGCUCUGUAACCAAAGAUUUUAAUCCUUAUACUGUUGGACAUUUCUUCCCAUCUGUAAAUUGAGAGAAAUGAUUUUCAGAAUUAAAUCAAAUUUUAAGACUGCAAAUUAUAGUAAAGUUGCAAGUUAUAGUAUUUCUACUUAAACAUUUAAUGGGUUGCCAUAGAGAACUCUACUGUGCUUAAAUUAAAAUGGCACUAUCCAAAAGAACUAAGCUAAUAUUUCUUGGCUACAGAAACCAGAUGAAUACAAUCAGUGCACUCAGUGGGAAAUGAAAAGGGAAAAUAUUCUCUUGGUUUGGGUGAUUUCAGGUGUGUUCACUUGCCCUUUUGUGUGAUCUUUACGUGUAAAAUGUCUUUUAUUUCCUAUAUGCAAGUUUGUUUUGUGAACACUGUUUUCUUUGUUGUCUAUUUUGAACCAUCUUCGUUUCCUGCAGUUUCCAAAAAAUCAGCUGACUUUUAGGUAGUUGAUGCUCUAGACGUUAUUGCCAUAUGACUACAAGUUACUGAUGGAAAUUCAAACACAUCCUCCUGGGUUUUAUUGCAUGGCUCAAAAAGCCUAACUGCAGUUUUGGCCUCUUGUAUAGCGGCUGUGUAGUGUAACGAGAAGAAAAACCUAAUCACUGAUAUCUUUGUUAAAACUUCUUCACAGAGUGUGGUGCGCACAGUGCAGGAGUGGAUGUGAUGAAUCCUGCAGGCAAACAGAACUGUCCUUGUUUGCAGAAAGGACUGUUUUAGAUUGUAACAGUUAUUGUGCUGCUCAUCCAGUUCACUGCAGAUAUUUUUCCCUUACCAAACUAAUAUUUGAGUUCAAAUGUUCACUCUAAUGUCAGGACCUGAUAUAUUUUUACUUCCCCCUUUCUCUUAAUUUUAUUGAUUUUUUUCUAAGCCAAACAUUCCAUAAAUUAGUUCUAUUAGAAGGCUUAUUGUGGAAUGUGAUAUAAUUGGCAACUGAUUGUUGAUGUAGGAGAUUUAUGUUGGCCUUACAGUAAUAGUUUCUUAUAAUUGAAUACAUAUGUGAUUUCCAGUGUCUAGACUUGGGAACUUUCCCAGGAAGGAGUUCCAGGUGGUUAUCUAACUGUAAUAAGCCAAAUGGCUACCACUCAGUCUGCAGACAUGGGAAAUAUGCAAAUACUACUGGCAAACGUAAUUAUUUCAUAAAUCUGCAUUUAAAUCACAAUAUAUCCAUUUACAUCUAAUGGUUUGACCAGCUUAUUCGUUUUAUAGAUUCAUUUAGAAUCUUUUUUUUUUAAACCUGAAACUUUCUUUCCCUCGAUUACUCCCUAAACUGAAAUAAUAUAAAAUGCAGAGGUGAGAAGUUCUUGAUAUGCCCGGAUGUCAAAAAGCUUUAACUAUGUUACAUGCCUGAGUUAGUUGCAUUAGUAUAUGAAGUAGUAAGUGCUUGAAGUAGCAGUUACAUUGCCAUAUAUUGAACUAAUUCCAUGAAAUCUGAUUAGGUAUAGUUAAGUGACAUGGCAACUUGAGUUUUCAUUUGCUAGCAGACUGAUUUCUGGAAGGAUCUCAGAAAGGAAACGUGUCUGGAAGCUGCACAGCCUACUAAAGCAUGUGGUGAUUUGAUAUUGUCCUGAUCCCAGUUUGCCUUGAACAUGCUUUGCACGCUAAAACAUCCCUGGAGAAGGAAAACACAGUUGGCUAUCCCAGCGUGAAUACUCUGCAAAUAUUGUUCUGGGGCCCGCACAGCCUGUGACUCACAAUGAAUAUUUUCAGCUCUGGUUCUUACAGUACAAUAGGAAAUACAAAGGAAAAUAAGUAAUUUGCUGGGGCCUAACACAGUGUGACUUGAUCAUUGUGCUUCAGAGAACAGAAGAGCUACAUUAGCAGAAGUGAAAAGUCCUUUCAAUUCAGAUUUCAUAUGCCAGAUGGCUGGCUCUUGUUCUUAUGUUUUGGUGGUGGUGGGUUUUUUGUUGUUGUUGUUAUUUUUGUUGUUGUUGUUUUUCCUUUUAUCCUACCUGUUAAGAUAGCAAAGAAUGACAUACGUUAUCUGGCUCUGCAGCCAAGUGUGUGGUCCAAAUUAUUUUCACAGAAUGCCUGGAAAAGUCUGCUUGCUUGCCUGCCUGCCUCAAUCAUUUUUCUCAACUAAUUAGAAAAGUCUGCCAAACAUUUUUGGGCUAAGGCACUAAUUAUUCUCAAACAAAUGUUUCAAUUUUGCACAAGUUAGGAAGUGUCUCUGUAUUAAAUGACUGCAUGCCAAGAUGCCAGAGUAGUCAGUCUGCUUUUGUUUAUCAGUAUGUCUGGAAGUCCUGUAGGACCAAGGAAAAAAACUUAAAAGCACCAUUUUCAAGCAGAGAUCUGUAGUGUUUAGUGAUGUUAAAGGAAAUAAUACUGCAAUACUUACUUUGUACGUGUUAGCUUUUAAUGAGAAAUAGGUCUAUUUUCCUUCUGGAAAUGCUGUUUCUUGUGAUGUUUGUAAUUGCAUUGGUCCUCAGAUUCUGUUGUUUCUGGCAGAGAAUAAAAGGAAAUCUUGUAGUUUUUCAUGCCAGACUGGCCUAUCUAACCCUGUCUCAGCUUUUAUGGCCCAGUCUUCAACACCCUAUUUCAGCAUUAAAGAAGAUGGUCCCUCGUGGCAAGGGCAUUGGAGAGUCAUUCUUUGUAAAAGUUCAAGUUGAAUUUGGCAAUCUGAAGAAAUUUGAAUGGUUUAAUGAGGCCUAUAGCUUGUUUUCCAAGUAAUGGUCUGGACCUGGAUUCUGUGUUUCCCUUCUCGGAAGUGGUGGUGGUCUUCUGGAACAGUCUCAUCCUACCUCAGGUCUGGAAAUGUAUUGGUCAUGCUGAUUUAUUUGUGACAAGGUUCACAGUCUGAUAGUUUGUUAUGUCAGUGAUAAGAUAUAUGCCUCUGAUUAGCUGUAUCUCUGCUGAUGCUGCUAAACUUCUGCCAUCUGUCUUUCAAAUUGUUUGUCCUCAUCCCAAAAGUUGCUCUGUAAGAAGAUGGUAGAUUGCCAUACUUAGGAGUCUUUUUGACUUCUGUUGGAUCUGCCCAUGUAUAACCAACAAAAAAUAGUUUCCACCAACUGCCUUCCUCUGUUUUUUGAAAGUAGGGAAAAUGUUUUUUUUUUGUUUUGUUUUUGUUUUUCCAUGGAAAAAUACUGUUGGAGCAGCCCUCGUGUUAUUUUCUAAAGAUGACGAGAGAAACUCAACAGUUUAUUUCACAGAGUUAAGUGAAAUGAUUUACUUAUGAGCCAAUGAGUUUGUUUUUUAGAUCUGUGCUAGCACAAAAUUGCUGGAUUAAGGUGGUGGGCUUUUUAGUUUUGUUUCUUGAAGCAUAUAUUAAGGGGGAGGACAAAAUGAAAGAAUGAAACCAUCAGAAUGGCAGCAGAACUUGGAACAUUUCAUUACUUGAUUUAUUUCCAGAAGCCACCUGUGCCAAGGCAGAAAAUGUGCUUAAAUACUACAGUAUUUGUACCUCUUUGAACAAUUAUUCGUAUUAGGGUAAUUAAGUAGUCAUAAUUUGUAUUUGAAUAAUGGAUUAUAUGUGUUUUCUUUGCAAUAUUUCCCUUCCUUCUUUAGGGAAAAUAUUGAAUCUGGUUUGUGAGUGCUUUCUACCAUUAAUUACUUUUUGCCCUGAUCUGCACCCACUGGCUUAAUUGCCAUCUGUCUGCAUAGUGUGCAGUGUGUGCUUUUUUAAAAUAAAAUAAUAAUAACAAAUGUAAAUUGUUUGUAAAGAGGAGAUGCAUCACGUGACUCUGAAAAGAGUUGGCUCUGGACAAUGCUGGCUGCUCCUGGCAGUGGCUGUGCUACAGGAGUGCUUGCAGACAGAAGAUGUCAAGUGAAGACAUUGCAAAUAUGGCAUUCCUGGUUCUUUAGCAUGAUGUAGAGCAAAAGACAAAGGGGCUGUGAAUCCUAGAGUGUCUCUCAUGGUUCAGUCCAUAGUCAUCUCCUACAUGGCAAGGAAGCUUUUAAGAAAACAGAGCUUAGAAAACUUUUCUUUUUCUAUUUUGUUCAUUUCCUUCUUGUCCUUUCAGUGCACAGUUAUUUGCUAGAUAAUUCUCCCUGCUGGUUUCAACUCGAUCCUUUUGAGUGCAUGAAUCUUUCUUUUCAACAUCAGUCACACAGUCUAAACCUUGCGAUGACCUCUAAAUGUACUAAACAUUUGGUAACCCUUCUUGGCUUUCUUGACAUUUGGAUGUCUGCGGAUUUAGCCUUCUCUUGAGGGGCAGAGGAACACGGUGGAGGAUCUGAAUUUGUUCAAGGUGGUAGCUGUUAUCCAAGACCAGCAAGGACCUGGUGGCAGCAAGAAUGUCAAGAUACCUAUAGCCAUGCAGAGGCAGCUGCCCAUAGAUGACUUGGAUCUUCAUUUUUUUGUGUGAAAUUGAAAUUUAUGGAUGUCCUCAGAGCAUGCUUAGUUCCUCUGAAACUGGAUGCUGUGAGCUGACACUGCAAGAGGAUGCUGGUUCUGAUGUCUUCUGCACACCUCUUUGAUCUGCAUUCAUGCAGGAUAAAUAUCAGUGAUUGGAGGCUUUUAUUUUUAAAAGCUUUUCAUUUUAGGCUUAUAUAACAAGGUAAAAGACUUACCUUUCCAGCUUUUAAAAUGAGGUAAAUCAUUUGAUUGUCUAUCCAGUUACAGAGGUGGUGAGCAGAAGAAAUGAAUAUGAAAUAGAAGUGUUAGAUCUAAUCACCUGACUAUAUAUGUAGAAGACUUAAAUAGAGGUCAGCAGGUAACAUGCACUUUGAAAAUUUGUUUAAAUUGGGAACUUGGCUUGAAUUUAUGUUGUCUAGAUGGGAAAUAAUACAUUAAUUAGGAAUUCAAUUGAUGUAUCUGCUUUGAAGAGAGAAGAGGAUUUCUAGGGAGCACUUUCCCAUUCAUAUUCCAUGAAGUGUUUCCCCUUCCCAGUGCUGAGCUCCAAGAAAGACCGGAUCAUAGGUAUGCUUGCACAGCUGGAGCCCUGGGGGAUCGGAUUUGCUGCUUUUGUGCACAGCCUGGAGCUCUGAAGCAUUGGCCUUGAUUUGGAUCCCGAGAAGUUACCGCACAGAAGUGUCAUGUUCGUUAAGGGUGAAAUCCAUUAAAACUGGCAGAAGAGUUGGUUCCAUAUCCACAGAGUCAACAGAGCCAAACAGAAAUAUGAAGCUGAGAAAAAAGAAGGGAAUGUGUGCAGCUGCAUGGCAUAGAGUCCAGCUCAGAACCUGCCUACCCAUCAGGCACAGUUAUGUUAAUUCUAGAAGAAAGUCUGAAGUUCUCUCACCCAGAUCAACAGAAUUUUUAGAAGUAAAACAAGAUGUCUGAUGAGAUGCAGUCAAUCUGUUGUGAGCAAUGAGUAAACAAAUCCCUCUGAUGGAGAGGAGGGAAGCCCUGCUACAGAAACUGCCAGCUGGUUGGUUGGUCUUUGCUGACCUCUGCUCGGCUCUGAAAAGAUUUGCCUUUAGAAGACCUCCCAGCAGUCCACUAAAUGCAGUUUGCUACUUGAAGUUUUAUAGCUGUGCUGCUUGAGAUGGACUAUUCUUUUACAUAUAGUACUGAGCUGUGAUGCAAAUUUUCCCUAUAAAGAGGCUUCUUUCUAGAUGAAAGAGUUGAUGAAGCUUCAAAAGUGGUUCCAUACUCUAGGAGAUGUGUGAUAGUACUGUCCUGGUUUGAGCAACCUGAACUGCAGAUGUCACUCUUCGUGGGAACUCAACCCUUUUGUUGCCUGCAGCAUCGGACUGCACAAACUACACAAUUCUUUACCCCAUGGAAGUGUCAGGAGGAAAUGUGGGCUGUGAUGAUCAAAAACAAAAGACUCUUUGGGAUCUUCGACCUUGUGCAAUUAAAGGUCUCCCUUCAAUACCUACUUCAUCAUUUAAUGUCUGUGGUGCCAAUAAUGUGCUGGUGCUUUGGUAUGGUAUCAACUCCAAGGGAAGAGUGCCACCUACUGAACUACCAGUUCUCUAUUUUGUGACAUAUAUAUCUGCCAGUUUUUCACCCAAAAUACUGACCAAAUCCUGUCUUGUGUAAGACAUGCAAUAUCAAGGCCUUGACAUGGCAUAUCCAAAUGUGUGAUGUUCCCAGUGUGGAUGAGAUCACUGUGCUGUGGCACUUGGAAACAUAAUCCUUUCCUCCUUUGUGGAUGUUUGAACGUGGAUUUUAACACGAUAAUUAUAAAAGACUGCAAUAAAAAUGAAGUUAGUAACAACCCACAUAAUGUUACUGUUAUCUGACCCUGAUUUGAACUCUCCACUGCUAUAAAAGCUAAAAUAUACUGCUAAUGAUUUCUUUGAAAAUAUGCUAAUAAUUAAUGCAUUAUUUCAGUCUUAGUCUCAUAAAAAUUAGAAAUGUCUUUAAAAAGAAUUAAAACAAUAAAGCUUUUUGUGCUUCCUCCUAGAUACUAAAAUGCAUUUUUUCAAAGUCUCUCAUGCAAAGAAAUUCAAUUAUCCUUCUAUAAACAUGGGUGGAAUAAUGUAUAUAUUUUUCCCAUAAAUUCUUUAUUCCAGCAUGACUUCAAUUGCAGAUCUUUCUAUGAUUUUCCCUACUAAAUCUUUCUUUUGGCAAAGCAAAGGGGAAAAAUCCAUCUUUGGAAAUGAACAUGCACGUGUCCAAAGAAAAAUGGGACUACUUCAGUUUUGUAGAAAAACUGAAUCUCAGAGAAUGACUAUUUUGGAAGAAUUUCAGGUAAAACUUCAGACUUUUUGUUCAAGGUUGGUAACUCAUAUUCCCGUGGAUCAUUUGGAUUAAAGGAUGAGUAAGGUAACAGUGUGAAACUGGCCCAAAUAUCUCCAGAAUAUAAAGCCUGGUGUCUUAAUGCCGCUGCUGGAAAAUGAGGUACUGUAAUACCAAUUAAAACAUAAGCAGUGAGUCUUUUUGAUGGGAAGAAGUGCUCUGAAAAUUCUUUACAAGCAUUUCCUCAUACUUGCAUCAUAGUCCUUUUGUGAUUUUUUACAAGCAAACUUCUGCAUCUGAAAACUCAAGCCAUUACAGAAUCUACCUGUAUUUCAUCUUAUUUUUUUCACUCACCUAAAAGAAUUAGCUCAUAGAUCCACUUCUGUUCCUCCCUGGCAAUUAGAGCUGCUGCUGAAGAUCUGUACAACGAGAAGUGCCUAGAGUAUAACACAGUGCUAAGUGCUCACCCUCAACUCUGUGGUCCUGGGUAACUUGGGAUGCAACUUCUCAUUGAGCCCUCUUGUAGCUUAACUGCAAUGACACUGCUUAAGGCAUGCUGAACUCAUUAAUCUGCUGUUGGAAAAGAACAGCUGACAUAACCAUUCUUAAUUUGUUAUGAAGCAGAAAAAUUGAUAUAAACAAGCUGUUGUAAUGCAUUUUUUUAAUGCCUUUUUCUUUGCUCUCCUCCACAGUUUCCUUCCUUGGGUUCUUGUCAGGUGCGUUCUCCUG